rnacentral:tRNA from 2 species
GUUUUAAUAGUUUAAAAAAAAUAAUGAUCUUGUAAAUCAUAGAUAGGAAAAACCCUUUAAAACU